UGCGCUGCCUACCAUGCAAGUCGAGCGGAUGAGAGGAGCUUGCUCCUGGAUUCAGCGGCGGACGGGUGAGUAAUGCCUAGGAAUCUGCCUGGUAGUGGGGGACAACGUUUCGAAAGGAACGCUAAUACCGCAUACGUCCUACGGGAGAAAGCAGGGGACCUUCGGGCCUUGCGCUAUCAGAUGAGCCUAGGUCGGAUUAGCUAGUUGGUGAGGUAAUGGCUCACCAAGGCGACGAUCCGUAACUGGUCUGAGAGGAUGAUCAGUCACACUGGAACUGAGACACGGUCCAGACUCCUACGGGAGGCAGCAGUGGGGAAUAUUGGACAAUGGGCGAAAGCCUGAUCCAGCCAUGCCGCGUGUGUGAAGAAGGUCUUCGGAUUGUAAACACUUUAAGUUGGGAGGANGGUUGUAAUAAUACUCUGCAAUUUGACGUUACGACAAAAUAAACCGGUUACUCUGUGCCACCACCGCGGAAU
rnacentral:rRNA from 1 species